rnacentral:rRNA from 1 species
GACGAAGGGGGCUAGCGUUGUUCGGAAUUACUGGGCGUAAAGCGCGUGUAGGCGGUUGUUCAAGUCAGGUGUGAAAGCCUUGAGCUCAACUCAAGAAAUGCACUUGAUACUGGAUGACUAGAGGACCGGAGAGGAUAGUGGAAUUCCCAGUGUAGUGGUGAAAUACGUAGAGAUUGGGAAGAACACCAGUGGCGAAGGCGGCUAUCUGGCUCGUAACUGACGCUCAUACACGACAGCAUGGGGAGCGAACGGG